AUUAGAUACCCCGGUAGUCCUGGCAGUAAACGGUGCUCAUUAGAUGUAGGCGGAUUCGACCCCGCCUGUGUCGAACCUAACGGAUUAAAUGAGCCGCCUGGGAAGUACGGUCGCAAGAUUAAAACUCAAAGAAAUUGACGGGGGCCCGCACAAGCGGUGGAGUAUGUGGCUUAAUUCGAUGCAACGCGAAGAACCUUACCUGGCCUUGACAUGCUUAGUUCAGGCGUAGAAACACGCUGGCCCGCAAGGGCGAUUUGCACAGGUGCUGCACGGCUGUCGUCAGCUCGUGUCGUGAGAUGUUGGGUUAAGUCCCGCAACGAGCGCAACCCUCGUGGUUAGUUAUUCCUGGGAAACCAGAAUCUGACCAGACUGCCCUGUGAAACGGGGAGGAAGGUGGGGACGACGUCAAGUCCGUAUGGCCCUUACGGCCAGGGCUGCACACGUACUACAAUGCCCACUACAGAGGGACGCAAGACCGCAAGGUGGAGCCAAUCCCGAAAAGGUGGGCCCAGUUCGGAUUGGAGGCUGCAACUCGCCUCCAUGAAGUUGGAAUCGCUAGUAAUGGCGCAUCAGCUACGGCGCCGUGAAUACGUUCCCGGGCCUUGUACACACCGCCCGUCACAUCAUGAAAGCCGGUUACACCCAAAGUCGCCUUAUGGUGCCCAAGGUGUGGCUGGUGAUUGGGAUGAAGUCGUAACAAGGUAUC
rnacentral:rRNA from 1 species